CGUGUGCCUAUGAUGGUGUUAAAUAUACUUUGAGAUUAAUCUCCAUGAAACAAACUUUACUCUGAGGCACCGU